CUGAAGGAGGGUCUAUAAAAGAUGGGUGGCUUCGACUCCACGAUCAGAAAAGCAUCAAAUCAGGACUGAACAGAACAAACCACCAGACAACAUGAAGCAUCUCUGCGUCGUCGCUCUCAUCCUCGGCGCCCUCGUCUCCCUGACGCUGAGCCACUACACCAACGGACCAGAGAAGUGUUGCUUCGAAUUCUUCGAAUCGAGAAUUUCGGCGAAAAGAGUGACACACUUUGAGGAGACAGAUCACAGAUGCCCCAUUCGGGGUGUGAUAUUUCACACAGUAAGGAAAUCUGAGAGAUGCGUGUACCCCUCCGAGACCUGGGUUCAAGAUAUAAUGAACAAGC